rnacentral:rRNA from 1 species
CACUCUAAGGAGACUGCCGGUGACAAACCGGAGGAAGUGGGGAUGACGUCAAGUCAUCCAUGGCCCUUACGGCCUGGGCUACACACGUGCUACGAAUGGUCGGUACAAAGGGUUGCCAAGCCGCGAGGUGGAGCUAAUCCCAAUAAACCGAUCGUAGUCCGGAUCGCAGUCUGCAACUCGACUGCGUGAAGUCGGAAUCGCUAGUAAUCGUGAAUCAGAAUGUCACGGUGAAUACGUUCCCGGGCCUU